GGCGUAAGCGCGCGCAGGCGGUUUCUUAAGUCUGAUGUGAAAGCCCACGGCUCAACCGUGGAGGGUCAUUGGAAACUGGGGAACUUGAGUGCACAAGAGAAAAGCGGAAUUCCACGUGUAGCGGUGAAAUGCGUAGAGAUGUGGAGGAACACCAGUGGCGAAGGCGGCUCUCUGGUCUGUAACUGACGCUGAGGCGCGAAAGCGUGGGGAGCAAACAGGAUUAGAUACCCUGGUCGCCCACGCCGUAAACGAUGAGUGCUAAGUGUUAGAGGGUUCCCGCCCUUUAGUGCCGCAGCUAACGCAUUAAGCACCCCGCCUGGGGAGUCCGGUCGCAAGACUGAAACUCAUAGGAAUUGGCGGGGGCCCC
rnacentral:rRNA from 2 species